GACGAACGCUGGCGGCGUGCUUAAUACAUGCAAGUCAACUUGACUUUAGAUAGCAAUAUCGAAAAGUAGGGUGGCGCACGGGUGCGUAACGCGUAGGUAAUCUGCCCUGAGGUCUGACAUAACCCGUCGAAAGGCGGCUAACAUCAGAUGAUAUAUAAUCACGACAUCGUGGAAAAUAUCAAAUCUUCGGAGCCUUGGGAUGAGCCUGCGUCUGAUUAGGUAGUUGGCGGAGUAAUAGCCCACCAAGCCUACGAUCAGUAGCUGGUCUGAGAGGAUGAUCAGCCACACUGGAACUGAGACACGGUCCAGACUCCUACGGGAGGCAGCAGUAAGGAAUAUUGCUCAAUGGGGAAACCCUGAAGCAGCAACGCCGCGUGAAGGAUGAAAUACUUUGUAUGUAAACUUCUGUAAGAUGGGAAAAAUAUUACUCCUCGGGAGAAUUGAUUGUACCAUCAGAGUAAGCCCCGGCUAACUACGUGCC
rnacentral:rRNA from 1 species